rnacentral:tRNA from 1 species
GUGAUUGUAGCUCAGCUGGUUAGAGCGCUAGUUUGUGGCACUAGAGGUCGCGGGUUCGAACCCCGUCUUUCACCCCA